GCCAGCAGACUAUCCACAACUCUUCCCUAGAAAUGCUGAUCUUUUUGGGGCGUUUGUUUGCUAGUUGUGACAGAAAAACAGGAAAUGGCUGGGAUUUUGUGCUGGAAUGCAACCCUGUGAGUGAGCAGAAAAUUUUCUAAGGAAAGGUGUUUCUGAGGAGAGUUUCAGAGAGAUCUGAAAUCCUGUGGAUUGUCUGUCCAACUGAUGGAUCAGGCUUUUCAUCUGGGAUGAGGAAGAAAAGAAGUCUGAAAUGGUUAAAGAGGAGGGAUAGAGAAUAAAUCUGGAGCAAGUCUACAAGUGUCCACAGCUACCUUCUUGCUUCCCAACCAGUCUCUUCUUGUAUUUUUUGCCCUUCUCCUCAGCUCAGACCAUCCUCACAAGGCUUUGCACCACAGCCCAGACCAAGAACAAAACAAAGACAGUACCUGAAAUGUGAAACUUUCUGGUAUCUUGGAAGAAAUGAGUUUCUUUGUCGAAGACUGUGCAGCACAGUUGUAUGUUUCAUGAGUGAAAGAUACGGCUGGAUGUGUCUGGACAGAAGCUACACUGUACAGUGCUCCACUGAAAAAAUGGCUUUGCUGCUCGAGGCUCAGGUUAUAGGCUCCUAUUUUCAGCAAGCAUUAAAAAAUCAUUUAUAUGAAUGUCACAGAACCUCUUUUUAUGAGCUCAGCAUGGGACUGAAUGAAUUAUGAAUAGCAAUUCUCAAUGUCAUGGAAGUUACUGAAGCCAAUGAGACAUCUUUACUUGAAGGAAAACAAUGCUUGGCUACAGAAUAGCUCCAGCAGAAGCAAGAGCAGCAUGAUCACUCCUCUGUGACCCUCAUACCCCACACCUCCAAGAGCCAAAAUUCAGCAUCUGUAAACCUCCCGUGUCUCAUCUGCAGAGGUGGCUUCCAGGGAAGCGUGCUUUGUCAGUGAGACAAUGUUUUCAUCGUGGGAUUCUCUCUUUGGGGUUGGAAUGAAUUCUGAAAGGCAUUUUGCUUGUUCAGGCCAGGGAGCUUCCAUCACUUGCAGUGCUGAUGAACACAGGCCACAUUCACUUGACCUGGCGGUGGCAUUUGGCUUCAUUUGAUCAGUUGGGUGAGCACCCUCGCCCUCCUGUGCAUAAGGUGGCCGGCCGGCGCCCACCCAGCCAGCCUGCUGGGGGCCUGAGCGCAGGAGGCUUUCUUUCCCAGAAUGGAAAUCAGUUUCUCAGAGGCACACCUGGUAUUCCUCAAAAUCCCAGCACUACCUCAUUGCCUCGCCAUAAAAUAGCUAAGUGCAACCGAGGAGCAAUUGUGCGGUGUCCUCCAGCCUACACAAACAGCCAUAACUCUGGUGCUCUCCAAGAAGAUGUUGGCACACUGGUGAGGUGUCCCGUGCUGCUGAUGGAUGGAGCAGCAGGUCCUCAAUGAAUCCCCACCCACGCACCACGGCCAGCCUGCAGACCUCCGCUGACGCUUCCCCUCGCUCAGCAAGCCCCAGGAGCUGCACAAGUCUCGUUCAUCACAGUUUGGCAGACCUUCAGCCUUCUUCAUUAAACCUCCAGCCAAAAACCAUGCAGUUGCAGACUCACCAUGGCUACCUAGAAUCCACCAGGAUAAUAGUGCUCUCUAUGUGUUUAUUGCCCAGCUCUACUUGUUCUAUUUUUAUUUUUUUUUUUAAUAUAUUCUGGACCAAAGUCCAGCAAAAGUGCAUGUUUCUAUGCUGGCCACAUUUCAGUUCCUAAUUCUAAUUGUACAGAAAACUGGGAUUGUUUUUCUCCCCUGUUUCUUUCUUUCCUUUUUUCUUUUUUUUUUUUCUUUAUCAGUGUUUCCUUUGAGUCUGCGUUGAGCUGCUCCAGUGAUAUUCAGACAAGAUUAAAUAUUUUACACUUAACAUCAUUUCUGCUACAUUUUUCCUAUUGUACUCAACUUGUACUUCAGCACCAGCCUAGCUGGCCUUUUCCUAAGUCCAUUCUGAAAUGAAAAUGGCUUUAAGCUCACAAAUGGAAGAGCCCAACAACUUCAUCUGAGAGCAGAUAUGGAGACUUGAUGUGUUACCAAAUAUGUCAAAAAAAUAACUGAAGACCGAGAGUCCUGAGGGCAUCGCAUUGGCAUUCUAAAUUGGGUAAUAGAUAGGACGUUUGUUUUUUACUCACCGCUGCACUGGUAAUUGUUGGUUUUAUACCACAAAUUUGAUCGUAUGGAGCACGCAGUAUUUGACCUCUCCCUUUCCUUCCCUCCAACCACUUG